rnacentral:rRNA from 1 species
GAUGAACGCUAGCGGGAGGCUUAACACAUGCAAGUCGAGGGGCAUCACGGGGUAGCAAUACUCUGGUGGCGACCGGCGCACGGGUGAGUAACACGUAUGCAACCUGCCUCGUACAGGGGGAUAACCCGGAGAAAUUCGGACUAAUAUCCCAUAAUGAUAUUGAAAGGCAUCUUUUGAUAUUUAAAGCUCAGGCGGUACGGGAUGGGCAUGCGGAACAUUAGCUAGUUGGCAGGGUAACGGCCUACCAAGGCUGCGAUGUUUAGGGGACCUGAGAGGGUUAUCCCCCACACUGGUACUGAGACACGGACCAGACUCCUACGGGAGGCAGCAGUGAGGAAUAUUGGUCAAUGGGCGCAAGCCUGAACCAGCCAUCCCGCGUGAAGGAAGAAGGCGCUAUGCGUUGUAAACUUCUUUUCCAGGGGGAGAAUUUUUCCGUCGUGACGGGAAUUGACGGUACUCUGGGAAUAAGCAUCGGCUAACUCCGUGCCAGCCGCCGCCGUAACAC